UACGAAGGGGGCUAGCGUUGCUCGGAAUGACUGGGCGUAAAGGGCGCGUAGGCGGCGGUCACAGUCAGAUGUGAAAUUCCUGGGCUUAACCUGGGGGCUGCAUUUGAUACGUGGUUGCUUGAGUGGGGAAGAGGGUCGUGGAAUUCCCAGUGUAGAGGUGAAAUUCGUAGAUAUUGGGAAGAACACCGGUGGCGAAGGCGGCGACCUGGUCCUUGACUGACGCUGAGGCGCGAAAGCAUGGGGAGCAAACAGG
rnacentral:rRNA from 1 species